CUGUUCGCUGAAGUGUUAUUUACCAUAAUUGUACUCUUCGAUGAAUGUUGCAGUAAAUUGUGGUACCAGACAAGUGAGUCAUUGAUCUGCCAAUUAUUGGUAGGUGGUUUGGUUUACUUUGUGGUCUAGGAAUUCAAUGCAUUCUGUUGGAACUGAAGAGUUAAUGAUCUUUCAUCUGAGUGAUUUUAUAGUUGGUUGCCAGUUGUGACUAGUUUGCUGGAAUGAUAAUUUCUUUGCUUAACAUGUUCCAUGGCUAGGUUGCUUGGUACUAGAAUAAAUUUUCCACUUGGAGGAUGUUACUGUAGAAUAUUCUGAUUUAUGGUGAUUUUGCCGUAAUGUUACUGGGUUUCUAAGACCAGAAGCUGUUUAACAGACGCGGCGUUUUCGGGGAAGACUUCAUUCGUUAUUGGAAUUGUUUCCGUGAAUUCUAUUUGUAGAUUUAAAUUAAAUUGAUCAAAAUCCAAGUGGUGUUGGUUGAUGUCUGUCUGAGGAUGACCUAGGGUGCUGGUGAUUUUUUUACUAUAGAAGCGACCACGUAGUAGGCGAUAAGUCUGUUUGGGUCCAAAGCGUUGCCUGUUUGAUUCUACAUCCGGCCUUACUUUAUUGAAAGUGCUGUACCUUCGUUAACGGAGUCUUUCGAACGGCCACGCACGAAUCAAAAUCCUUUUUGAGAUUUUAGAAACAAGAUGUUGAGCAGGUGUUACUAAUGCUAUGGUUGAUAUUGCUGGUUCCGGUGAUUUCCGAGAAAAGCAUGCAGAUGGAAAUUGGAGGCAAAUGUUGAGACGGUGUCCGAAAAUUUCCUAUUAAAUUUUCUCGUAUUUUUGUACUUGAUGGAAAGCUUUUUAGUGAAUAUCUGGGCUCUUGUUUAUUGUGGCCAUGUUUCCAUUGACUUGUGAUAGAUUUGUGGCGUUGUAAAUUGUUGAAUGAUGUGGAGACUUGGAAUUUUUGUUGUCAGCUGACGAUAGGCAUACGAAAAAAUGCUAAUGAACUAUAUGUGUUAAUGGUAAAACUCGCAUGGGUAAUGCUAUUUUCCUCUAACUAGCCACCUUACGGGUAAUAUCUGCUAUUGGUCUAUUGUUGUGGUUAUCCCGUCCUAACUAAUAAGAUAGCGUUUACAUUAUUGUGAUGGUAUCUCAAUAAACAAUUUGAAUCGA
rnacentral:lncRNA from 1 species